UACAGAGGGUGCGAGCGUUAAUCGGAUUUACUGGGCGUAAAGCGUGUGUAGGUGGCUUCCUAAGUCGGUUGUGAAAUCCCUGGGCUCAACCUGGGAAUUGCAGUCGAUACUGGGAAGCUCGAGUUCGGUAGAGGACGGCGGAAUUCCCGGUGUAGCGGUGAAAUGCGUAGAUAUCGGAAGGAACAUCAGUGGCGAAAGCGACUUCCUGGACCAAUACUGACGCUCAUGUGCGAAAGCGUGGGGAGCAAACAGG
rnacentral:rRNA from 1 species